AAGCUCAUAAUUUAACGGUAGAAUAAUUUCUUGAUGAGGAAUAUGCAGAAGUUCGAUUCUUCUUGAGCUUA
rfam:Rhizoctonia solani strain AG-1 IB complete mitochondrial genome, isolate 7/3/14